rnacentral:rRNA from 1 species
AUUGAACGCUGGCGGCAGGCUUAACACAUGCAAGUCGAGCGGGGUGAUGGUGCUUGCACUAUCACUUAGUGGCGGACGGGUGAGUAAUGCUUAGGAAUCUGCCUAUUAGUGGGGGACAACAUCUCGAAAGGGAUGCUAAUACCGCAUACGUCCUACGGGAGAAAGCAGGGGAUCACUUGUGACCUUGCGCUAAUAGAUGAGCCUAAGUCGGAUUAGCUAGUUGGUGGGGUAAAGGCCUACCAAGGCGACGAUCUGUAGCGGGUCUGAGAGGAUGAUCCGCCACACUGGGACUGAGAAACGGCCCAGAAUCCUACGGGAGGCAGCAGUGGGGAAUAUUGGACAAUGGGGGGAACCCUGAUCCAGCCAUGCCGCGUGUGUGAAGAAGGCCUUAUGGUUGUAAAGCACUUUAAGCGAGGAGGAGGCUCUUUUGGUUAAUACCCAAGAUGAGUGGACGUUACCCGCAGAAUAAGCACCGGCUAACUCUGUGCCAGCAGCCGCGGUAA